rnacentral:rRNA from 1 species
AUUGAACGCUGGCGGCAGGCUUAACACAUGCAAGUCGAACGCGCCCUUCGGGGUCAGUGGCAGACGGGUGAGUAACGCGUGGGAACGUGCCCUUCAGUUUGGGAUAACCCAGGGAAACUUGGGCUAAUACCGGAUACGUGCGAGAGCAGAAAGAUUUAUCGCUGAAGGAUCGGCCCGCGUCCGAUUAGCUGGUUGGUAGGGUAAUGGCCUACCAAGGCGACGAUCAGUAGCUGGUCUGAGAGGAUGAUCAGCCACAUUGGGACUGAGACACGGCCCAAACUCCUACGGGAGGCAGCAGUGGGGAAUAUUGGACAAUGGGCGCAAGCCUGAUCCAGCCAUGCCGCGUGAGUGAUGAAGGCCUUAGGGUUGUAAAGCUCUUUCAGUGGGGACGAUAAUGACGGUACCCGCAGAAGAAGCCCCGGCUAACUUCGUGCCAGCCGCCGCCGUAA